AGUGAACGCUGGCGGUAGGCCUAACACAUGCAAGUCGAACGGCAGCACAGUAAGAGCUUGCUCUUACGGGUGGCGAGUGGCGGACGAGUGAGGAAUACAUCGGAAUCUACUUUUUCGUGGGGGAUAACGUAGGGAAACUUACGCUAAUACCGCAUACGACCUACGGGUGAAAGCAGGGGAUCUUCGGACCUUGCGCGAUUGAAUGAGCCGAUGUCGGAUUAGCUAGUUGGCGGGGUAAAGGCCCACCAAGGCGACGAUCCGUAGCUGGUCUGAGAGGAUGAUCAGCCACACUGGAACUGAGACACGGUCCAGACUCCUACGGGAGGCAGCAGUGGGGAAUAUUGGACAAUGGGCGCAAGCCUGAUCCAGCCAUACCGCGUGGGUGAAGAAGGCCUUCGGGUUGUAAAGCCCUUUUGUUGGGAAAGAAAAGCAGCAGGUUAAUACCCCGCUGUUCCGACGGUACCCAAAGAAUAAGCACCGGCUAACUUCGUG
rnacentral:rRNA from 1 species